CAAAAUUAUAGAGUGAGCAAACAUGAGACAGAUAGGUUUUGAACCUUUCAAAGUUCGAGAUCGAAUUGACAGUUGAAAUAGUACCAAACUCCAAGCUGAAAUGUCACCCAUCUUAAGGGUUCCUUUCAGCUUUCACCUUGCCAAGACCUGUCACUAAAUUAUGGGUUGCCUGAAUAGAUAUAAUUCCUCAAAUCAUGAAUGGUCAUGAUUUUUGAAGUUAAUUUGAUAGAUAUUUUUAAUUGCAUGGAUUAUUGG